GGCCGGGUGGAGAGGCGUAAUACAAUACCCGAAAGGGAAAUAUGCCCGGAGUUGCUUUGUAGACUCAGUUGACACCUGGUCACCAGCCA
rnacentral:ncRNA from 1 species